rnacentral:lncRNA from 1 species
CUGACUAGAGCUUGCUCUAGAUGGGUUCAUUCAUACCUGUUAAGCCUGGUAGUCCACAUACAGUAAAACAUAUACAUAUACCGAUCAUGUACAACACAAUAGAUUUACAACUACUAAGUCAAGCACAUAUAUAACUAUUACAUCUCUUUAACAGUACAUGUCCACUCUAGACUAUUACAUGUCUCUUUAUUCUUUCUCUGAACCCUGCUGGACUGUCCCUGUACACGGUAUACUGAAC